rnacentral:lncRNA from 1 species
UUCUGUGUAUGGUCCACUAGUCAUUAUUAAAACAUGUUUCUCCUUCUCUUAUAGCUAAAGGAAAACUACACACUGAAAAAUGUGCUGUCUUCUUUAAAAACAAACCAGAUCCUUAGAAUUGUUUUAUGUUGUCAGAUGACCAUGCCCUUUCCUUAGAAGAAACCAGGGAAUCUAGUUUUCUCCUGAAGAGAAAAAAUAAAGAGAAUCAGUCUGGCAUCCGCGCCCCUUGCACGUGUCGCCAUUGCUUUGUAGGCGUGUUCUUUCUCUUUCGCAGGACUGUUCCAGGCUCACUGAGGACGUCCCAGCCUAGGUCCUGGAGUCAGAAGGGGAGACUGAUAUUUGGAAACAAAACCCAGGCCCCGACACUGCUCUCUAGACACCCACAGCCUCUCUCUGCGGGUGACAACUGUGCUGGCCCCGCUUGGUGGCUUCAGCUCGAUCACCGAGGGAGAGGACAAGCAAGAGACCACAUGGAGUUACCCUCCCCAGGCCUUCCUCCGCCACCCGUGCGCUUGUCUUCCACCUUCC